ensembl:lncRNA
UGAAUUAAAUAUUUCUAAUUUCAAUAAUAAAUAUAUAUUUAUUUAAUAUAAAUAUUUAAAUUAAAUUAAAUUAAAUUACAUUAAAUUAAAUUAAAUUAAAUUAAAUACUGAUCUCUAACCAAAAAGUAUUUUUCAUUAUUUUAUUAUUUUAUUUAUUUAUUAUUAUUAUUAUUAUUAUUAUUAUUAUUAUUAUUAUUAUUAUUAUUAUUUAUUUAUUUUAUUUUUUUUUGUAUGUUUUUCAUACCUCAAAUGUCAGUAAACCAACAAAGCAACGGCUGACUGUGUGAAUUAUGUUCAUGUAUAUUUUUAAGACACCACAGUGGUGUAACUGUAGAUGGCCGCCUCACUCAGCUUACAUAACACAGUUCAUCUGGGCUUUGAUGUGCUUGUGUCCCUGAGCAGCAGUUACAAAACCUCGACUUCAGAAGUCAUGACCGUGUUAACUGACAGUGGUUUAGGUCGUUAGCUUCUGAUGUGCUCGCCUGUUCAAACCCAGCUCAAACUAACCGCAACAUCUUGCGUGGUGGUUAUGGAUCUGCUCAGGGUGGAAGUGGGUGAGGAAGACCGUGACUGCAGGGCUGGGCUUAUCAACAACCAGGAGCAACAGUAAGCCACACUGCACCUCCCCGUGCCAACCAACCGCCGCUGUCUGGCAGGAUUUUACCAACUUGUUCGGUCUGCCUGAAAACAGCACACAAGCCCUCUCUGCUUCUCCAGUCGUCUCUCCAGGGGCCUCCAGCCUUCUUAAAAAGACCUGCUGACAGUCGACACGUGUGGCAACACAACUCAGACACGACAUUUCCCAGCACCCCUCCUGAUCCAUUAACUACAGCCAUCCUGAAGUGCACGGCUCUUUAAUGCUCAGAGCUUGACUUAUGAGCUGUAGGUAGCAAUAAUAUUAAAGGUGAAUGAAGUUGUGUUGAAGUUGGACUCAGGCCCACAUGGACAAACUCAGACUCUGAGCGCAUUUGUUGAACUUGGCUCUUCUAGCAGCAGCAUCCAGUGAGAGUUCAACACGUUACGUGUUUUGUACUUUACACUGGUGUAGAAAUAAUUUGGCUGGUGAAUUUCACACCUUAUUACAAAGAAACAGCAAGUAACCCAUUAAAUUACACAUGAAAUGUUAAAAGUUAAAUGUACUCCAAAAAUCGUUUUAUUUAGAACAUAGAAAUUAUUUUUUUACAGUGAAUGUGCCAUUCCCUAAAUUGUUGUGCCACUUUCACAUUUUAAUAAAAAAAAAAAAAACUGUUAAGCAGCUUAACAACUCAGCUUAACUUAAGAUACUAAACAAAAGAAAUCGUUUGUCAAGACAAAUGAUAUUUUGGCUUUAGAAAGUUGAGUAAUUGAAGUAUUUUGGAAAUAUUUACAUUUGAAGAAUUCAAGAUUUCAGCUAUUUUAAUUUUGACGCUGUUUUAAAAGUUAGCAUGGUUUAUAAUGUUAAGAUGUUUUAGCAUGACUUAGCACAUUAUUAACAUGUUUAUGCUAAAAUUAGCAUGCCAUGUUUAACACAUUGUUAGCAUGUUCCUACCAUGUUUACGUUUUCUAUCAUUUUCAGCAUGUUUCUAACACAUUUUUUGCAGUGCUUCUAAUGUUUUCUAACCUGUUGUAGCACAUUCUUAGCAUGUUUUAGUAUGCUUAGCAUGCUAAAAAUGUUGCUAGCAUGUUUAGCACAUUGAUAGCAUGAUCCUACCAUGUUUACAUGUUUUCAAUCAUUUUCAGCAUGUUGGUAGCACAUUUUCAGUGUUUCAGGCAUGUUUACUCAUGUUGUAGCACACUGUUAGCAUGUUUUCAUUAUGCUUAGUAUGUUAAAAUGUUGCUAACAGGUUUAUAACAUUGUUAGCAUCUUCCUACCAUGUUUGCAUGUUUUCUAUCAUUUUCAGAAUGUUGCUAGCACAUUUUCACACCUUUAUGCUUAGUAUGUUAAAAAAAUGUUGCUAACAGGUUUAUAACAUUUAUUAGCAUCUUCCUACCAUGUUUACAUGUUUUCUAGUAUUUUGAGCAUGUUUCUAGCAUAUUUUUUGCAGUGCUUCUAAUGAUUUCGAAUCUAUUGUAGCACAUUCUUAGCAUGUUUUAAUAUGCUUAGCAUGCUAAAAAUGUUGAUGGCAUGUUAAGCACAUUGUUAGCAGGAUCCUACCAUGUUUACAUGUUUUCUAUCAUUUUCAGCAUGUUGGUAGCACAUUUUCAGUGUUUCAGGCAUGUUUGCUAAUGUUGUAGCACAUUGUUAGCAUGUUUUCAGUAUGCUUAGUAUGUUAAAAAUGUUGCUAACAGGUUUAUAACAUUGUUCGCAUCUUCCUACCAUGUUUACAUGUUUUCUAGUAUUUUCAACAUGUUUCUAGCACAUUUUUUUUGCAGUGCUUUUAAUUAUUUCUAUUCUGUUGUAGCACAUUCUUAGCAUGUUUUAGUAUGCUUAGCAUGCUAAAAAUGUUGCUAGCAUGUUUAUAACAUUGUUAGCAUCUUCCUACCAUGUUUACAUUUUCUAUCAUUUUCAGCAUGUUACACAUUUUUGCAGUGCUUCUAAUGUUUUCUAACCUGUUUUAGCUCAUUGCUCAAGUUUUUAGCAUGCUUAGCAUGCUAAAAAUGUUGCACGCAUGUUUAGCACAUUAUUAGCAUUAUCCUACCAUGUUUACGUUUUCUAUCAUUUUCAGCAUAUUGCUAGCACAUUUUUGAAUAGUUUCUAAUGUUUUCUAACCUGUUUUAGCACAUUGUUUAAGUAUGCUUAGUAUGUUAAAAUUGUUGCAAUGUUGUUAGCAUCUUCCUGCCAUGUGUACAUGUUUUCUAUCAUUGUGAGAAUGUUGCUAGCACAUUUUCGCUUUAUUUCUAACAUAUUUUCUAACAUGUUUUAGCAUAUUCUUAGCAUGAUUCCAGUAUGUUUAGCAUGUGGCUAACACAUUUAGCACAUUGUUAGCAUGUUACUUAUAUUUUACAUACAAGUUUCAAUAGAAAUGAAAUUAGUAGAUUUUAGUUUACCAUAAAUGCUUGUUAUAUCAGAAUUUGACCCGAAAGAGAAAGCUGGAUAUUAAUGUUAGGUGAAAUGUGCAUGUUUUAGCAUGUUGCAAGCAUGUUUGAUAUGUUAUCAUGUUGCUAACAAUUUCUAGCAUGUUUCAUAAUGUUGUUAUAGUCAUUGUCUUUAUUGUAUGUGGUUAAUUUAAAUUAAUUUGUACAAUCUUAUUAAUAUGUUUUGAUAU